UGCCUAACCCCAUAGAAGGUCUGUGGGUAUGGCAAAUAGUCCGGUUAGACAUAAAGAUCCCAUCACGGGGUUGUCUAACCGGCCAUGCGUGGAAACACGCAUGAGAGGCUUCGGCCUCU
rnacentral:sRNA from 1 species